UAGCCAUGGUGCGGGAACGGAUACAACACAUCCUUGAAUCUUUCCCAAACUUGAUAGAACGUGUCAUUGUCCUUUUGGGAAAAUGAGGAAAUUUGUCAUUUUAGACU